AACCCUCCAAAAAUAGGC
rnacentral:snRNA from 1 species